rnacentral:rRNA from 1 species
UACGUAGGGUGCGAGCGUUACUCGGAAUUACUGGGCGUAAAGCGCGCGUAGGUGGAUAUUUAAGUCGAAUGUGAAAUACCUGGGCUUAACCUGGGAACUGCAUCCGAUACUGAAUGUCUUGAGUAUGGUAGAGGGAAGUGGAAUUUCUGGUGUAGCGGUGAAAUGCGUAGAUAUCAGAAAGAACAUCAGUGGCGAAGGCGGCUUCCUGGACCAAUACUGACACUGAGGUGCGAAAGCGUGGGGAGCAAACAGG